rnacentral:tRNA from 1 species
GCCUCAGCAGUGUAAUGGAUCAGCACGGCAAAACGGAUAUUUGCAAGUGCGGGUUCGAGUCCCGCCUGAGGUU